CAAACGGCCCUUUUCAGGGCCACACAAUCAAUGGUAGAGUUAUUUU
rfam:Aedes aegypti strain Liverpool supercont1.276 genomic scaffold, whole genome shotgun sequence.